rnacentral:rRNA from 1 species
GACGAACGCUGGCGGCGUGCUUAACACAUGCAAGUCGAGCGGGAAACUUCGGUUUCCAGCGGCGGACGGGUGAGUAACACGUGGGCAACCUGCCUCACAAUGAGGGAUAGCCCUCCGAAAGGAGGAUUAAUACAUCAUAACACAAGAGAAACGCAUGUUUUUCUUGUCAAAGAAUUUCGUUGUGAGAUGGGCCCGCGGCGCAUUAGCUUGUUGGUGAGGUAACGGCUCACCAAGGCUUCGAUGCGUAGCCGACCGGAGAGGGUGAUCGGCCAAAGUGGAACUGAGACACGGGCAAGACUCCGACGGGAGGCAGCAGUGGGGAAUAUUGCACAAUGGAGGAAACUCUGAUGCAGCAACGCCGCGUGAGUGAUGAAGGUCUUCGGAUUGUAAAGCUCUGUCUUCUGGGACGAUAAUGACGGUACCAGAGGAGGAAGCCACGGCUAACUACGUGCCAGCCGCCGCCGUAA